rnacentral:rRNA from 1 species
GGAGUCCUACGGGGGGCAGCAGUGGGGAAUAUUGCACAAUGGGGGAAACCCUGAUGCAGCGACGCCGCGUGAGUGAAGAAGUAUCUCGGUACGUAAAGCUCUCUCAGCAGGGGAGAAAAUGUCGGUACCUGAUUAAGAAGCCCCGGCUAACUACGUGCCAGCAGCCGCGGUAAUACGUAGGGGGCAAGCGUUAUCCGGAUUUACUGGGUGUAAAGGGAGCGUAGACGGCAUAGCAAGUCUGAAGUGAAAGCCCAAGGCUCAACCAUGGGACUGCUUUGGAAACCGUUAAGCUAGAGUGCUGGAGG